UAGCGUAUGACGGAUGCAUGACUUAUUUCUGCAGUAUUUCUCUAUGUUGCCAUGCUGCAUUUAGCGUAUGACGGAUGCAUGAUACUUGACGGAUGCAUGACUACCUGAUAUUUCUGAAGUAUGACGGAUGCAUGACUUCUCACUCGGAAGUUUAUCAACCCAUAGGCGAAGAUGGCCGAGGAGCGACUCCAUGGAGGCUUCUAAGGAAAGAAAUGCGCUGAUUUACUGAUCAACAAGUUGAUCUGUUGUGAGAGGCUCUACGCAGAGGAUGGACAUAACAAGGGACACGGUCGAGCCUCAUGUAGAGAUCUUCGGUGUCUUACUUUAUGCAUGUUUGAUUAUAUGAGUGCGUUACUUUUUUGAUGAUAUUAUCAUAUUUGAAGGAAUGAGAAGCAGAUGCUUUUUUUUUUGGUACCGCAAUGAAUAGACUUCCAAGCAGUUUCUUGGUCUGUCUUAGUCUGUCUAUCCUCAAAAUUAUUAUUGUACUUGUAUAAUUUGACACUGA